AACGAACGCUGGCGGCAGGCUUAACACAUGCAAGUCGAGCGCCCCGCAAGGGGAGCGGCAGACGGGUGAGUAACGCGUGGGAAUCUGCCCAUCUCUACGGAAUAACGCAUGGAAACGUGUGCUAAUACCGUAUACGUCCUUCGGGAGAAAGAUUUAUCGGAGAUGGAGGAGCCCGCGUUGGAUUAGCUAGUUGGUGGGGGAAAGGCCUACCAAGGCGACGAUCCAUAGCUGGUCGGAGAGGAUGAUCAGCCACACGGGGACUGAGACACGGCCCAGACUCCUACGGGAGGCAGCAGUGGGGAAUAUUGGACAAUGGGCGCAAGCCUGAUCCAGCCAUGCUGCGUGAGUGAUGAAGGCCCUAGGGUUGUAAAGCUCUUUCACCGGUGAAGAUAAUGACGGUAACCGGAGAAGAAGCCCCGGCUAACUUCGUGCCAGCCGCCGCCGUAACAC
rnacentral:rRNA from 1 species